GAAUUCCCAGGGAAUAUAUCGGUCGACGUGACUGUAAUGUUCUAGAAUUUCCAGGGAAUACCUGUAUAGGUGAUUAGUAUUACUGUGGAUUGCAUCAUCUUAAAUUAUAUGAUUGAUUUAUAAGUAACUUGUUAAGACCUGACUAAUGCAUAUUUUUUUUCAUGAAUGUUAUUUAGGCUAGGAAUUUUGUAUGCUGUUUGCUGUAAAAGCACAAUCAUGUAUUAAAAGGACAAUCCCGAUUUGAACAGUCUCAAAAAUAAUUGAAUACCACGAGUUUGUACUGAAUUGACUAUGGAUUAAAACAUUUUGUCUGGAACCACUCUACUUUGUGCAAUAUUUUUCGGGCAUCGAUUAUUAUUUGUGAAUGCAGCUGCAACAGUCGGCAUAGAGUUGGAUUUUGGUUGCAAACCGAUUGGGAACUCUGAAGUUGUUUAAUUCACAGGCUAGAAUUUAACGUCCACUCGACACAUACUGGGUCAUUUCAGGACUAACAUGUGGUUUAAUUGUAUUUCAAUAAUAGGGGUCUUUAGCAGUGGGAGGAAACCGGAGGACCCGAAGAAAACCCACUAGGUUGGACAGGCUACCUUACUCCUUGUCACGUACAACCGGGGAUUUGAAACCACGCUAGUUGACUAAAUUAAAGGCCUUAUGAUACUGCGCGCACGUGCUAACCAUUCGGCCAUCCAACCCCCAAGUAAUUAAAGCACAUAUAUUUGAGGCUGUGAAUUACCCUAUCGAUAGAGGGCGUUUGUUUGUUUAUGUUAUAAAUAUUACCGGUACACACGGCUAAAUUGUUAUUGUCAUGAUUCGUGAUAGUGGAAAUCAAAAAUGGUGAAGUUAGUCGACAGUGCUAAGAUAGCCAAGAAAAUGGAAGGAAAGUUUAUUGCUUUAAAAGUUGAUGUUGAUGAUGUAGAAGAAUUAGCAGAAAGAUAUAACAUAGGAGAAAUGCCAACAUUUAUUAUUAUUAAGUGCGGAGAAAAGAUUGAUGGAU